GAAUCGCCAGUAUAUUUCUUUUAAUUUUAUAACCUUUUGAAUAACCGAGCCUACUCAAAAUAUGCCCAAUAUUUCCUUCUCUUACUUUAGGGUUUCCAGCGACACUUCAUCUCCAUCGGCUAUCGCCAGCGACAAUGAUCAUCUCCAUCACCGGCUACACUUGAAUCUACCUUUGGUCCAUUUGUACGAGGAUGUCUUAAGAGACUAUGUUUGAGGUUUGGCGUUCAAGAUUUUGGUGGUUGAAGUAAUAUUGAUCAAAGUUCUGUUCAUCAUUAAGGUCCAUAUCUCUUUUUCAUAUUUCGUUUUUUAAUACGAUUAUGUGCUCCACCAUGAGUGAAAUAUUCCAUAUUGAUGGGGACUCGAAAGCUUCUAUGUCAAUAUGAUUUUUUUACAAAGAAGUAUAUCUGACAAGUCAAAGUUUUAAAUAGCAAUGUCUUGGUAAGUUUGACUUAUUUUGUUUGACACAAUAAAUGUAGUUGAGAGGAGCUAUUGUCUCUAAUUUUGGUGAGGUAAAGUGACUUUCAGUAAAGGAUGAAAGAGCUAUAUAUUGGCAGUAUUAUGUUUAUUCCAUUUUGGAUUCGAGUGUUUGACUUAUUUUGUUUGGCACAAUAAAGGUGGUUGAGGGGAGCUGUUGUCUCUAAUUUUGGUAUGUUGAAGUGACUUUCGAUAAAGGCUGAAAUAGCUAUAUAGUUUGGAGUGAUACUGUAGAUUGUUGCAAGUAAUGUUCUAAGAAACAUGUUUUCUCUAACAUAGCGUCUAAUAUUUGACUUUGUAUUUCCAUCUCAUAUUUGAGCUUUGUAGCCUGUAAGCUGAAGACAUUACUUUAUCUUCUUAAAUGCAUAAGAUAAUUGGUACUCAGCUAUUCUGUUUUGAAUUUUAAUUCUUAGAACGUCAAAUAACUUUUGGUUGAGCAAAGAAGAUUCUUCCAGUUUAAAAAUACCUCUUUCGUGUAAAUGUUCAAUUGAAAACUCCUUUAUAUCAUUGACUUGUUUCAAGUAUACCGAGCACUAUUUAAUAUGUUUCUUGAAUAUGUUGACGUGGAUCUCAUCACAACUGGAGUAUCAACAAGUGAAAAUAUGAAGGGAGAAUUUGGUGUUCACCACCUGCAAUACCUUAGUUGCUGGAGGCAUCAUAUUUUUGAAGUGACGCUCCAUUAUCACCAACAGGCCAAGGAGUUCUUCCCACGAAGUAAAAAUGCUAAAUGCAGUUAGGAUUGAUUGUAUUAUUUUGUUGUUGAGUAACACUUUGAAACAAUAUAUUUAAUGUAAUUUUGGAGUGCUUAUGAUAUAUGAGGAAUAUUCUGCUUUUUCUUCUCA